rnacentral:rRNA from 1 species
AAUUUGAGACUGGAAUGAAAGAGUAAACCAGGAGGAUUUUUUUUUAGUUGAAGAAAUGAAUUUUACUUUUUAGUAAAAAGGCUAAAAUACAUCUUUUAGACAAGAAGACCCUAUAAAACUUUAUAUUUUUUUGUUUUUGAUUAAAGGGAAAAAUAUUACACUGGGGCGGUGAAGAAAUUAGGCUUUCUUUGAAAAAAUAAACGAACUUGUUUUAAUACCUAGAAAUUUUAAAAUAGAAAUAAGUUACUUUAGGGAUAACAGCUUAAUUCACUUAGAAAGUUCUAAUUGACAAGUGAGUUUAUGACCUCGAUGUUGAAUUAAAAUACCUUUUGUUGCGCAAAAGCUUAAAAAGGAGGUCU